GACGAACGCUGGCGGCGUGCUUAACACAUGCAAGUCGAACGGUAAGGCCCUUCGGGGUACACGAGUGGCGAACGGGUGAGUAACACGUGGGUGAUCUGCCCUGCACUUCGGGAUAAGCCUGGGAAACUGGGUCUAAUACCGGAUAGGACUCCUGCCUGCAUGGGUGGGGGUGGAAAGCUUUUGCGGUGUGGGAUGGGCCCGCGGCCUAUCAGCUUGUUGGUGGGGUGAUGGCCUACCAAGGCGAAGACGGGUAGCCGGCCUGAGAGGGUGACCGGCCACACUGGGACUGAGAUACGGCCCAGACUCCUACGGGAGGCAGCAGUGGGGAAUAUUGCACAAUGGGCGCAAGCCUGAUGCAGCGACGCCGCGUGAGGGAUGACGGCCUCGGGUUGUAAACCUCUUUCAGCACAGACGAAGCGCAAGUGACGGUAUGUGCAGAAGAAGGACCGGCCAACUACGUGCCAGCCGCCGCAGUAA
rnacentral:rRNA from 1 species